UACGUAGGGGGCAAGCGUUGUCCGGAUUUAUUGGGCAUAAAGAGCGUGUAGGCGGUCAGGUAGGUCCGUUGUGAAAACUCGAGGCUCAACCUCGAGACGCCGAUGGAAACCAUCUGACUAGAGUCCGGAAGAGGAGAGUGGAAUUCCUGGUGUAGCGGUGAAAUGCGCAGAUAUCAGGAAGAACACCCGUGGCUAAGGCGGCUCUCUAGUACGGUACUGACGCUGAGACGCGAAAGCGUGGGGAGCGAACAGG
rnacentral:rRNA from 1 species